rnacentral:rRNA from 1 species
GACGAACGCUGGCGGCGUGCUUAACACAUGCAAGUCGAACGGACAGGCCCUGCUUUUGUGGGGUGCUCGAGUGGCGAACGGGUGAGUAACACGUGAGUAACCUGCCCUUGACUUUGGGAUAACUUCAGGAAACUGGGGAUCAUACCGGAUAGGAGCUCCUGCUGCAUGGUGGGGGUUGGAAAGAUUCGGCGGUUGGGGAUGGACUCGCGGCUUAUCAGCUUGUUGGUGGGGUAGUGGCUUACCAAGGCUUUGACGGGUAGCCGGCCUGAGAGGGUGACCGGCCACAUUGGGACUGAGAUACGGCCCAGACUCCUACGGGAGGCAGCAGUGGGGAAUAUUGCACAAUGGGCGGAAGCCUGAUGCAGCAACGCCGCGUGCGGGAUGACGGCCUUCGGGUUGUAAACCGCUUUCGCCUGUGACGAAGCGUGAGUGACGGUAAUGGGUAAAGAAGCACCGGCUAACUACGUG